rnacentral:misc_RNA from 1 species
AUGGAAGCUGCUCUCUUGUGAAGACCUGCUAUGUAGUUUCUUCUGUUGGGUCAGAGGUGUACGGGUGGUGCUCUCAUUUCUAUGUUAUUGGUCUAUGGGUAUAGCGUAAAUGGGAAGCCAACAUGCAUAAUCAUGGUUGCCCUCUGUCCUUUGCCAAUGCAAUUGGUUGCUUCCCGUUUAACCAUCCUCUAGUCUACUCUUGGGUUCCAUGGCCUUUAUUCUUCUCUUGUGUGUGUUCCUUCUUUGUUUCGCGACUCUUUAGUGGUUUAAGGAUAGAUCUUCUUUCCUUGUAUGCCAAUGUUUUUCUUGGAGCUGUGUUGUACUAUGGAAAUAGCAAUGAAGACGGUAACUUUAUCGGAUCCUGUCCGGGUUACAAAAAAUGGGUUUCCUCUAGGGUUUGCUAGCUAAAGAGGCCUUGAACCUUAGGGUUAAUUGUGGGCUUUAGUUACAAAAUAGAGUUAGGAUGAUGUAUUGAAUCAUAAGCCUGUGUGAAUAGGCUUUAAGCCAUGUAUUUGGGCUUUAAGCCCUUUUCUAAUCUAAUGAUAUUUCUAUCUUUAAUUAAAAAAAUGCUAGGAAUGGCAAUAGGUCGAG